GGAAGGUCCGGGCGUUAUCCGGAUUUAUUGGGUUUAAAGGGAGCGCAGGCGGACCUUUAAGUCAGCUGUGAAAUACGGCGGCUCAACCGUCGAACUGCAGUUGAUACUGGAGGUCUUGANUGCACACAGGGAUGCUGGAAUUCAUGGUGUAGCGGUGAAAUGCUCAGAUAUCAUGAAGAACUCCGAUCGCGAAGGCAGGCAUCCGGGGUGCAACUGACGCUGAGGCUCGAAAGUGCGGGUAUCAAACAGGAUUAGAUACCCUGGUAGUCCGCACAGUAAACGAUGAAUACUCGCGGUUUGCGAUACAAUGUAAGCCGCCAAGCGAAAGCGUUAAGUAUUCCACCUGGGGAGUACGCCGGCAACGGUGAAACUCAAAGGAAUUGACGGAAGCCG
rnacentral:rRNA from 1 species